rnacentral:rRNA from 1 species
CGGUACCGGAAUAGAAAGCCACGGCUAACUACGCGCCAGCAGCCGCGGUAAUACGCAGGCGGCAAGCGUUGUCCGGAAUCAUUGGGCGUAAAGCGCGCGCAGGCGGAUCAGUCAGUCUGUCUUAAAAGCUCGGGGCUUAACCCCGUGAUGGGAUGGAAACUGCCAAUCUAGAGUAUCGGAGAGGAAAGUGGAAUUCCUAGUGUAGCGGUGAAAUGCGUAGAUAUUAGGAAGAACACCAGUGGCGAAGGCGACUUUCUGGACGAAAACUGACGCUGAGGCGCGAAAGCCAGGGGAGCGAACGGGAUUAGAUACCCCGGUAGUCCUGGCCGUAAACGAUGGGUACUAGGUGUAGGAGGUAUCGACCCCUUCUGUGCCGGAGUUAACGCAAUAAGUACCCCGCCUGGGGAGUACGACCGCAAGGUUGAAACUCAAAGGAAUUGACGGGGGCCCGCACAAG